rnacentral:rRNA from 1 species
AUGAACGCUGGCGGCGUGCCUAAUCCCUGCAAGUCGAGCGAACAGACGAGGAGCUUGCUCCUCUGACGUUAGCGGCGGACGGGUGGGUAACACGUGGAUAACCUACCUAUAAGACUGGGAUAACUUCGGGAAACCGGAGCUAAUACCGGAUAAUAUAUUGAACCGCAUGGUUCAAUAGUGAAAGACGGUUUUGCUGUCACUUAUAGAUGGAUCCGCGCCGCAUUAGCUAGUUGGUAAGGUAACGGCUUACCAAGGCGACGAUGCGUAGCCGACCUGAGAGGGUGAUCGGCCACACUGGAACUGAGACACGGUCCAGACUCCUACGGGAGGCAGCAGUAGGGAAUCUUCCGCAAUGGGCGAAAGCCUGACGGAGCAACGCCGCGUGAGUGAUGAAGGUCUUCGGAUCGUAAAACUCUGUUAUUAGGGAAGAACAAAUGUGUAAGUAACUAUGCACGUCUUGACGGUACCUAAUCAGAAAGCCACGGCUAACUACGUG